ACCCGGUGAACUGAAACAUCUAAGUAGCCGGAGGAAGAGAAAGAAACAUCGAUUUCCAGAGUAGCGGCGAGCGAAAUGGAAAGAGGCCAAACCGUUGUGCGUGCACAGCGGGGUUCGGACCGCAUAAUUGAUUCAGUGAUUCUAGCAGAAAGGUUUUGGGAAAGCCUGCCGGAGAGGGUGAAAGCCCCGUAAGCGAAAGGAAAACUGACAAGGCGGUAUCCAGAGUACAUCGAGACACGUGAAACCUUGAUGGAACACGCGGGGACCACCCCGUAAGCCUAAAUACUACUUAGUGACCGAUAGCGCAUAGUACUGUGAAGGAAAGGUGAAAAGGACCCCGGGAGGGGAGUGAAAGAGAACCUGAAACCCUGUGUUUACAAUCUGUGGAAGGUCUUUAUAUGACCAACCGCGUACUUUUUGUAGAACGGUCCGGCGAGUUACGCGUACUGGCAAGGUUAAGUGCUUAAGGCACGGAGCCGAAGCGACAGCGAGUCUUAACUGGGCGAUGAGUCAGUACGAGUAGACCCGAAACCGGGUGAUCUAUCCAUGUCCAGGAUGAAGAUGCCGUAAAAGGCAUUGGAGGUCCGAAGCCACAUCCGUUGAAAAGGGUGGGCAUGAGGUGUGGAUAGGGGAGAAAUUCCAAUCGAACCCGGAGAUAGCUGGUUCUCCUCGAAAUAGCUUUAGGGCUAGCCUCGUUUUAGUCUUAUGGAGGUAGAGCACUGAAUUUCCGCGGGGGCGUCAAAGCUUACCAAAGAAUAUCAAACUCCGAAUGCCAUGUAGAUGAUGAACGGGAGUCAGACUGCACGAGAUAAGUUGGGCGGUCAAAAGGGAAAGAGCCCAGACCACCGGCUAAGGUCCCAAAGUGUGUGUUAAGUGGAAAAGGAUGUGGGAAUUCGAAGACAACUAGGAUGUUGGCUCAGAAGCAGCCAUACAUUCAAAGAGUGCGUAACAGCUCACUAGUCGAGAGUCCCUGCGCCGAAAAUGUCCGGGGCUGAAACACAACACCGAAGCCGUGGACUCCGUAAGGAGUGGUAGAGGAGCAUUCUUAAAACCGACGAAGCUGUACCGGUAAGGAGCAGUGGAGGGAUAAGAAGAGAGAAUGCCGGAAUGAGUAGCGAGAGGAAGGUGGGAAUCCUUCCGGCCGAAUAUCUAAGGUUUCCAGAGUAAAGCUGAUCUGCUCUGGGUAAGUCGGGGCCUAAGGAGAGGUCGCAAGACGUAUCCGAUGGACAACAGGUUUAGAUUCCUGUACCGCAUAUAAACAGAACUGUGGGGACGCAUGUGGAAAGCAUAAGCCGGGAAUGGAAAGACCGGUACAAGCGAGGUAGGUGUGUGACAGGCAAAUCCGUCACACAAGCCGAAGACGUGAUGUGGAGCGAAAUUAAGUAGUGAAGUAUGUGAGCCAUGUGCCGAGAAAAGCCGCUAUUGUUUUAUAUGUGCCCGUACCGUAAACCGACACAGGUGGAUGAGGAGAGAAUCCUAAGGCCGACGGAAGAAGCAUUGUUAAGGAAUUCGGCAAAAUGACCCCGUAACUUCGGGAGAAGGGGUGCCCACUGAAUGGUGGGCCGCAGAGAAUAGGCUCAAGCAACUGUUUAGCAAAAACACAGGUCUAUGCGAAACCGAAAGGUGAAGUAUAUGGGCUGACGCCUGCCCGGUGCUGGAAGGUUAAGAGGAGAGGUUAGCGCAAGCGAAGCUUUGAAUUUAAGCCCCAGUAAACGGCGGCCGUAACUAUAACGGUCCUAAGGUAGCGAAAUUCCUUGUCGGGUAAGUUCCGACCCGCACGAAAGGCGUAAUGAUUUGAGCACUGUCUCGACAAUGCAUCCGGUGAAAUUGAAGUACCAGUGAAGAUGCUGGUUACCCGCGCCAGGACGGAAAGACCCCAUGGAGCUUUACUCCAGUUUGAUACUGGGAUUCGGUACUGCACGUACAGGAUAGGUGGGAGACUGAGAACUAUGGACGCCAGUCUGUAGGGAGUCGCUGUUGGGAUACCACCCCUGUAGUACUGGGUUUCUAACCAUCUGCCGUGAUCCGGCAGUGGGACAAUGUCAGGCGGGGAGUUUGACUGGGGCGGUCGCCUCCGAAAGGGUAUCGGAGGCGCUCAAAGGUUCCCUCAGAAUGGUCGGAAACCAUUUGAAGAGUGCAAAGGCAGAAGGGAGCUUGACUGCGACACCGACGGGUGGAGCAGGU
rnacentral:rRNA from 1 species